UCAAGCUAUAAAGAGCGCAAGGGGAAUGCCUUGGCAUCAGGAGCCGACGAAGGACGUGACAAGCUGCGAUAAGCUUCGGGGAGGAGCAAAUAUCCUAUGAUCCGGAGAUUUCCGAAUGGGGAAACCCACUGGAGCAAUACUCCAGUAACGUGCAUUGAAUCAAAUAGGUGUACGUGGGGAACCGCCUGAACUGAAACAUCUAAGUAGGGCGAGGAAAAGACAUCAACCGAGAUUCCGCUAGUAGUGGCGAGCGAACGCGGAGGAGGCCAAACCGGAGGAUUUAUUCUCCGGGGUACGGACUUGCAUCACGAUCAGAGGAGCCUAGAAGAACGGCAUGGGAAGGCCGGCCACAGAGGGUGAGAGCCCCGUAUUUGAAAGGUGAGACUGACAGCGAGUAUCCAGAGUACCGCGGGACACGAGGAACCCCGUGGGAAAACGGGUGGACCACCAUCCAAGCCUAAAUACUACCUGAUGACCGAUAGAGGAGCAGUACCGUGAGGGAAAGGUGAAAAGGACCCCGGGAGGGGAGUGAAAGAGAACCUGAAACCUUGUGCUUACAAGCACUCAAAGCACGUUAAGGUGUGAUGAGGUACUUUUUGUAGAACGGUCCGGCGAGUUAUAGUAACGAGCAAGCUUAAGGUAUUCAGUACCGGAGGCGAAGCGAGAGCGAGUCUGAAUAGGGCGUAAAAAGUUCGUUGCCAUAGACCCGAAACCGGGUGACCUAACCAUGAGCAGGCUGAAGUGAGAGUAAAAUCUCAUGGAGGGCCGAACGCACGUUCGUUGCAAUGACCGGCGAUGACUUGUGGUUAGCGGAGAAAUUCCAAUCGAACUCGGAGAUAGCUGGUUCUCCCCGAAAUAGCUUUAGGGCUAGCGUUAUCUUAGAUUACCGGAGGUAAAGCACUGAAUGGGCUAGGGGGCGAUAAGCUUACUGAACCCUAUCAAACUCAGAAUGCCGGCUAAUUGAUGGAUAGCAGUCAGACAGUGUGAGAUAAGUUUCAUUGUCAAAAGGGAAACAGCCCAGACCCACAGCUAAGGUCCCAAAGUACAGUUAAGUGGUGAAGGAUGUGGAAUUGCAUAGACAACCAGGAUGUUGGCUUAGAAGCAGCCACUCAUUAAAAGAGUGCGUAAUAGCUCACUGGUCGAGUGACUCUGCGCGGAAAAUAUAACGGGGCUAAGCAUACAACCGAAGCUUGGGAUUGUCUAAAGACAGUGGUAGGGGAGCGUCGUGUAUGGGGUGAAGUCGCAUCGGAAGGAGCGGUGGACUGUACACGAGUGAGAAUGCCGGAAUGAGUAGCGAGAAUUAUGUGGGAAUCAUAAUGGCCGAAAAUCUAAGGUUUCUUGGGGAAGGUUCGUCCGCCCAAGGUAAGCCGGGAGCUAAGGCGAGGCCGCAAGGCGUAGUCGAUGCACAUACGGUAAAGAUUCCGUAGCCGCCGAACUUUAAGUCAGAGGGACACUUGCAGAUAGCGGAACCCAGCCGUUGGUUGAGCUGGGCGAAAGGGACUGAAAUUAGUAGGGAAGUCCGCGAUGCUGAAAGGCGAGAAAAGCUCUGAUGGAUACUAAGGCGCCCGUACCGCAAACCGACACAGGUAGAUGAGGAGAGAAUCCUAAGGCCAACGGGAGAAGGGUUGUUAAGGAACUCGGCAAAUUGACCCCGUAACUUCGGGAGAAGGGGUGCUGCAGCAAUGCAGCCGCAGAGAAUCGGCCCAAGCAACUGUUUACCAAAAACACAGGUUUGUGCUAAAUCGAAAGAUGACGUAUACGAGCUGACGCCUGCCCGGUGCUGGAAGGUUAAGAGGAGAUGUGCAAGCAUUGAAUCGAAGCCCCAGUGAACGGCGGCCGUAACUAUAACGGUCCUAAGGUAGCGAAAUUCCUUGUCAGGUAAG
rnacentral:rRNA from 1 species